rnacentral:rRNA from 1 species
UACGGAGGGUGCGAGCGUUGUCCGGAAUCACUGGGCGUAAAGGGCGCGUAGGCGGCCUGAUAAGUAGGGGGUGAAAUCCUGCGGCUUAACCGCAGGGCUGCCUUCUAAACUGUCAGGCUAGAGCACGGUAGAGGCAGAUGGAAUUCCCGGUGUAGCGGUGGAAUGCGUAGAGAUCGGGAAGAACAUCCGUGGCGAAGGCAGCUCACUAAACUGUAACUGACGCUGAGGCACGAAAGCGUGGGGAGCAAACAGG